GACGAACGCUGGCGGCGUGCCUAAUACAUGCAAGUAGAACGCACAGUUUAUACCGUAGCUUGCUACACCAUAGACUGUGAGUUGCGAACGGGCGAGUAACGCGUAGGUAACCUGCCUGGUAGCGGGGGAUAACUAUUGGAAACGAUAGCUAAUACCGCAUAAUAUUAAUUAUUGCAUGAUAAUUGAUUGAAAGAUGCAACUGCAUCACUACCAGAUGGACCUGCGUUGUAUUAGCUAGUAGGUGAGGUAACGGCUCACCUAGGCGACGAUACAUAGCCGACCUGAGAGGGUGAUCGGCCACACUGGGACUGAGACACGGCCCAGACUCCUACGGGAGGCAGCAGUAGGGAAUCUUCGGCAAUGGACGAAAGUCUGACCGAGCAACGCCGCGUGAGUGAAGAAGGUUUUCGGAUCGUAAAGCUCUGUUGUAAGAGAAGAACGGGUGUGAGAGUGGAAAGUUCACACUGUGACGGUAUCUUACCAGAAAGGGACGGCUAACUACGUG
rnacentral:rRNA from 1 species